UACAGAGGGUGCGAGCGUUGUUCGGAAUUAUUGGGCGUAAAGGGCGCGUAGGCGGCGCCACAAGUCACUUGUGAAAACUCUGGGCUCAACUCAGAGCCUGCAAGCGAAACUGUGGUGCUGGAGUAUGGGAGAGGUGCGUGGAAUUCCCGGUGUAGUGGGGAAAUGCGUAGAUAUCGGGAGGAACACCUGUGGCGAAAGCGGCGAGCUGGAUCACUACUGACGCUGAGGAACGAAAGCUAGGGGAGCAAACAGG
rnacentral:rRNA from 1 species